GACAGGGGGCUCGAGCGUUAAUCGGAAUCACUGGGCUUAAAGGGUGCGUAGGCGGACCAGUAAGCGUCCCGUGAAAUCCCCCCGGCUCAACCGGGGAACCGCGGGGCGAACUGCUGGUCUAGAGGAAGCUAGAGGCGGGUAGAACGAUAGGUGGAGCGGUGGAAUGCGUAGAUAUCUAUCGGAAUGCCGAAAGUGAAGACAGCCCCGCUGGGGCUUUCCUGACGCUGAGGCACGAAAGCGUGGGGAGCAAACGGGG
rnacentral:rRNA from 1 species